GCCUUUCUAGCUCAGUGGUAGAGCAGCAGUUUUGUAAACUGUCGACUAGAGUUCGAUUCUCUAGAAAGGCU
rnacentral:tRNA from 1 species